UACCUGGUUGAUCCUGCCAGUAGUCAUAUUGCUUGUCUCAAAGAUUAAGCCAUGCAUGUCCAAGUAUAAAUAUUUAUAAUGUGAAACUGCGAAAGGCUCUUUAAAUCAGUUAUAGUAUAUUUGAUAAUAUCUACUACUAUGU
rnacentral:ncRNA from 1 species